GUCAGUGGUAGUGUGGCCGAGCGGUCUGAGGCGCUGGAUUAAGGCUCCAGUCUUAAAAGAGGCGUGGGUUCAAAUCCCACCACUGACA